rnacentral:misc_RNA from 1 species
AAGUCGUAACAAGGUUUCCGUAGGUGAACCUGCGGAAGGAUCAUUAUCAGAUGCUGCUUGCAGUUAUCUUACCCUGUGUGAACUGUACCUUUAGCCUUGGCGCCAGUGAAGGCAUCUGCGUGGUGUUGAGUCAACUCAUACCGCAAAGGUGUCGGCUAGGCGUCAUAUUAUGUUGACCAACUGAACUGAAUGCCGAGUAUAAAUGUAAAGACUAGAAAACUUUUAGCAACGGAUCUCUAGGCUCUU